GCGCAGCCUGAUGCAGCCAUGCCGCGUGUAUGAAGAAGGCCUUCGGGUUGUAAAGUACUUUCAGCAGUGAGGAAGGUGGGUAUGUUAAUAGCAUACUCAUUUGACGUUAGCCGCAGAAGAAGCACCGGCUAACUCCGUGCCAGCAGCCGCGGUAAUACGGAGGGUGCGAGCGUUAAUCGGAAUUACUGGGCGUAAAGCGCAUGCAGGUGGAUGAUUAAGUCAGAUGUGAAAGCCCGGGGCUCAACCUCGGAAUAGCAUUUGAAACUGGUCAUCUAGAGUACUGUAGAGGGGGGUAGAAUUUCAGGUGUAGCGGUGAAAUGCGUAGAGAUCUGAAGGAAUACCGGUGGCGAAGGCGGCCCCCUGGACAGAUACUGACACUCAGAUGCGAAAGCGUGGGGAGCAAACAGGAUUAGAUACCCUGGUAGUCCACGCCGUAAACGAUGUCUACUUGGAGGUUGUGGCCUUGAGCCGUGGCUUUCGGAGCUAACGCGUUAAGUAGACCGCCUGGGGAGUACGGUCGCAAGAUUAAAUCUCAAUGAAUUGACGGGGGCCCGCACAAGCGGUGGAGCAUGUGUUUAAUUCGAUGCAACGCGAAGAACCUUACCUACUCUUGACAUCCAGAGAACUUCCAGAGAUG
rnacentral:rRNA from 1 species